GUGAAGAACGCAGCGAAAUGCGAUAAGUAGUGUGAAUUGCAGAAUUCAGUGAAUCAUCGAAUCUUUGAACGCACAUUGCGCCCCUUGGUAUUCCAUGGGGCAUGCCUGUUCGAGCGUCAUUUGUACCUUCAAGCUUUGCUUGGUGUUGGGUGUUUGUCCAUUCUCUUGCAGAGGGACUCGCCUUAAAGUAAUUGGCAGCCAGUGUUUUGGUUUUGAAGCGCAGCACAAGUCGCGAUUCAACGCUAUACGCCAGCUUCCACAAGCCUUUUUCACUUUUGACCUCGGAUCAGGUAGGGAUACCCGCUGAACUUAAGCAUAUCAAUAAGCGGAGGA
rnacentral:misc_RNA from 1 species